rnacentral:snoRNA from 1 species
CUAGCACCCCAAACAGGUCCCUGGCUCUGCCCCAUAGACAGGGAUUUGGUAGCUGGUGCUCAGAGUAAAUUCUCCAUUGCAACCCGCAGCCGGCUUGUUCCCGUGCCGACCGCGUUACAAAUCUGGAGAGACAGGU